UACGGAGGGGGCUAGCGUUGUUCGGAAUUAUUGGGCGUAAAGCGCACGUAGGCGGUCCGUUAAGUCAGAUGUGAAAGCCCCCGGCUCAACCGGGGAAGUGCAUCUGAAACUGGCGGGCUAGAGUACGAAAGAGGGUCGCGGAAUUCCAGGUGUAGCGGUGAAAUGCGUAGAUAUCUGGAGGAACACCGGUGGCGAAGGCGGCAUCCUGGACCAUUACUGACACUGAAAAGCGAAAGCCAGGGGAGCAAACGGG
rnacentral:rRNA from 1 species